rnacentral:misc_RNA from 1 species
AAAAGGUCGUUGGCUCGUGUGCGUUUGUGUGCUUGUGGCACUGUUGGCGAUCCAGUGAGUGCGCAUGAGGUCUCUAUACGAAUUUCUGUCUGUGCCUGCCUUGGGUUGAGGUGGCGCUUUUUUCCUUUUCUUCUUCUUUAGCGUGUGCAGCUCUCCACUGUGGGCGGAGGUGCUCGACGCAGCCAGGGCAGACAAGGGAGACGACAAAGGAAAGACCGGCGUCGGGAAUUGGAGCACACCAGCACACACUUUCAACGGGCUGCAUGAAUGCAACAAAAUCACCAUGCGUUGAGCGACACUUGUUGCCCUCUACCAUACAUUCACUCUCUCUCAAACCCACCGACACACACACACACACACACAAAGCCCUCACCCCCGUCGCUUACCGAUCCGCUCGUUCAUGUUUGCCUUCAUUGUUUCGCCACAAGGCCGCGCGAUUACUACGUGCGCAUGCAGCUUUUGCGACAGCGGCUUAAGGCGGAAACGCUCCUCCUCAUCGUCCUCGGUGAACUUGCUUCCCUCCCGCCGCCUCCCUUCUGCGCCGUUUCUUUUUCACACGUCUGCAUCUCGCUAG